GGCACACAACAGACAAGGACAGAAAACACACAGGAAACGUAACAAGUAUCAGGCCCUGUCCACAGGAACAUGGGUAUUUUCAAAACUCCUGCCAGGAGAGAGUUCAGGAGGAGUAUGAUGAUGUGAUGAGUGUCAGUGAAGAUGUGAGAAACCUGUUGGAUUAUGAUGAUGUGGAGGAGGAGUCAAACAAAGAAGUGGGGCAUUCGGCUCAGUGAUCAUCCUCUGCCUCGGUUCAACAAAUCUG